rnacentral:rRNA from 1 species
CCCUUAGAUGUCCGGGGCCGCACGCGCGCUACACUGAAGGAAUCAGCGUGGCUUUCUCCCUGACCCGAAAGGGUAGGGAAACCCGUUGAAUCUCCUUCGUGAUAGGGAUUGGGGCUUGAAAUUGUUCCCCAUGAACGAGGAAUUCCCAGUAAGCGCGAGUCAUAAGCUCGCGUUGAUUACGUCCCUGCCCUUUGUACACACCGCCCGUCGCUACUACCGAUUGAACGGUUUAGUGAGGGCCUCGGAUUGGUCUCGGCCCGCUCUUUACCGGGCGGCGCCGUUGGUCGAGAAGACGCUCGAACUUGAUCGUUUAGAGGAAGUAAAAGUCGUAACA